AUGAGGCCGGCUUGGGGCAAUCCGAAAGGGCUGCUGUUCCACCCCGCAGGGGACAAUCUGUUCGUUGCAGAAUUCGGUACAAGAGAGGACCGUGUGCGUGUGAUGGAAAACUCACCAUGGGUGGUCGGCAAGCACGCCGUCCUGCUCAAGAAUUAUAAUGCGGACGUGCAGCCGAUGUAGGUUAAUUUUGACCGGCUGGCCAUUUGGGCCAGGAUUAUGGCACUCCCACCAAGACUGAUGAACUCAAAGUUGGGCAUGGAGUUUGCCAAGCCAAUCGGAACUAUCCUCCGGGUCGAGGCAGACUCAGGUGGGCGCUGCUGGGGUGCUUUUAUGCGGGUCAGAGCCGAAGUGGUCGUGCAGGAACCUUUGGUGCGCUAUGUGACAGUAACUUCAGCUAAGCUCAAGACAACUGAAACUUAUGCCGUGAUGUAUGAGCGACUUCCUUUCUACUGUUUCUCAUGUGGGUUGCUCGGGCACUCCUCAAUCUUGUGUCCUACCCCCGUGGAGCGUGAUGCUAAUGGUGAGCUGCCUUAUGCAGCAAAGAAACUGUGUGCUAUCGAUGACCAGCUACGGAAGUCAAACGGAGCAAGGUCAGGCAAUGCCUCCUCGUCGGCUGGUUUUGAUUCCCAGCCUCCUAGUCACAGGGUCCCUUCAGGGGGCUCUCGUUCUUCUGCGGCUGGUAGUAAAGCCAAGGACUUUGGUACGACCACUAGGGGGGAUGAGGAGGGGGAGGUCUCCUCCCCCAUCAAAGGUGGUCGGAUGUCCACCCAGGGUCGGGGACGCUCCAAUCGUGGCCGAGGCAGGGGUCAUUCUGAUGGCCCAGGAAAGGAGUUGUUUCCAGGUCCGAAAUCCAAGAAAGGAAUGACUGGGCAGAAAAGAAAGAAGGUGAAGGACCAGCCGUCCACUUCUGGGGCAGAUGAGCAGCUGCCUAGUGUGGAUAAUGCCCUUGCUUUGGUGAUCUCAGCCAAAGCAAUUGAUGGGACUCUGGAAACCUGGGAGAACCAAUCCAGUGACACCAACAAGAAACUGAGACCCACACCCUCUCGAUCGGCGGAUCAGGCGGCGGCUGCAGAGCAGCCCCGCCAGACGCAAUGA
rnacentral:rRNA from 1 species